rnacentral:rRNA from 1 species
GAUGAACGCUGGCGGCGUGCCUAAUACAUGCCAGUCGAGCGAACAGAUAAGGAGCUUGCUCCUUUGACGUUAGCGGCGGACGGGUGAGUAACACGUGGGUAACCUACCUAUCAGACUGGAAUAACUCCGGGAAACCGGGGCUAAUGCCGGAUAACAUUUAGAACCGCAUGGUUCUAAAGUGAAAGAUGGUUUUGCUGUCACUUAUAGAUGGACCCGCGCCGUAUUAGCUAGUUGGUAAGGUAACGGCUUACCAAGGCAACGAUACGUAGCCGACCGGAGAGAGGGAUAGGCGACACUGGAACUGAGACACGGUCCAGACUCCUACGGGAGGCAGCAGUAGGGAAUCUUACGCAAUGGGCGAAAGCCUGACGGAGCAACCCCGCGUGAGUGAUGAAGGUCUUCGGAGCGUAAAACUCUGUUAUUAGGGAAGAACAAAUGUGUAAGUAACUGUGCACGUCUUGACGGUACCUAAUCAGAAAGCCACGGCUAACUACGUG